rnacentral:rRNA from 1 species
AACGGCCGUACCAUGCUGAAUAUACCGGUUCUCGUUAGGUCACCGAAGUGAAGCAUCAUUGGGCGCGGUCAGUACUUGGGUGGGUGACCACCUGGGAACACUGCGUGCCGUU